UUGGUGCUGUUGCUUUCGAGGCGACUCGUUUGGUAAUGAUUCAGAUCUUGCUUACUUCUAAAGGAAUCACUUUGAAUCCUAUCACUUCUCUUUAUUACGUUGCUCCUUGCUGCUUAGCUUUCUUGUUUAUCCCUUGGAUUGUCGUGGAGUUUCCGAUCUUGAGAGAUACCUCUAGCUUCCAUUUCGAUUACCUCAUUUUCGGGACGAAUUCGUUCUGUGCAUUUGCUCUGAAUCUUGCUGUGUUUCUUUUGGUUGGGAAAACCUCUGCUUUGACCAUGAAUGUUGCUGGUGUGGUUAAGGACUGGCUCUUGAUCGCCUUUUCGUGGUCGGUCAUUAAGGACACAGUGACUCCUAUUAAUCUUUUUGGUUAUGGGAUUGCUUUCUUGGGAGUUGCGUAUUAUAAUCACGCGAAGCUACAAGCAUUGAAGGCUAAAGAAGCUCAGAAGACUGCUCAGCAAGUUGAUGAAGAGACUGGUCGGCUUUUGGAAGAGAGGGAAGGAAAUGAAGGUGGGAGGAAGAAUGAGCCAGAGGAUUAAAAGGUGAAGAAUUGGAUUUUGGUAAAACUUCAAAUUUUU
rnacentral:sRNA from 1 species